GACAGAGGGUGCAAACGUUGUUCGGAAUUACUGGGCGUAAAGCGAGUGUAGGCGGUCUCAUAAGUCGGGUGUGAAAGCCCUGGGCUCAACCCAGGAAGUGCACUCGAUACUGCGAGGCUAGAGUAUCGGAGAGGUUGGUGGAAUUCCCAGUGUAGCGGUGAAAUGCGUAGAUAUUGGGAGGUACACCAGUGGCGAAGGCGGCUCACUGGACCGGUACUGACGCUGAUGCGCGAAAGCGUGGGGAGCAAACGGG
rnacentral:rRNA from 1 species